rnacentral:rRNA from 1 species
AACUUUUAACAACGGAUCUCUUGGUUCUCGCAACGAUGAAGAACGUAGCAAAGUGCGAUAACUAGUGUGAAUUGCAUAUUCAGUGAAUCAUCGAGUCUUUGAACGCAACUUGCGCUCAUUGGUAUUCCAAUGAGCACGCCUGUUUCAGUA